rnacentral:siRNA from 1 species
ACUGAUGCCCGCGUCGCGAU